CCGUGGCAACGCCAACAGCGGCGGGAGGCCAGCCCAGCCGGCACGGAGGCGCCCGCACCCCGGAUCCCAGCGCCGCCACGGCCCCUGGAGCGCAGACGCUGCCUCACGUCCUCUCGAGUCCGUGUCUUUAAAAACACAGUCUCCGCCUCCCUCCUGAAAAUGGAGAGCGGCUCGCACCUGUCACAAAUAGCAGGUGGGCGGCCCAAAACACGCGGGAUGGAAACAAAACGUGGCUCUGACAAGUUCUGCAGAAGAGAUACCUGUUGAACAAUUUCCCAGAUGAGCGUGAACAUAAACUCUUUAUCCACAGCAGUUUCCUGGACACAAUUUUGGAGGCCUCUCAUCAUACCACUGCCCUCUCUUGGUCUCCUCUUGUAUCCAGACUGCAACAUGAGACAGAGAAAGGCCAAGAAAACUAACAAUGAAAUAAAAAUUAACAGUCACAAUUA